rnacentral:rRNA from 1 species
AUACGGAGGAUGCGAGCGUUAUCCGGAUUUAUUGGGUUUAAAGGGAGCGUAGGUGGGAUAUUAAGUCAGCUGUGAAAGUUUGGGGCUCAACCUUAAAAUUGCAGUUGAUACUGGUUUCCUUGAGUACGGUACAGGUGGGCGGAAUUCGUGGUGUAGCGGUGAAAUGCUUAGAUAUCACGAAGAAAUCCGAUCGCGAAGGCAGCUCACCGGGCCGGAACUGACACUGAUGCUCGAAAGUGCGGGUAUCAAACAGGAUUAGAUACCCUGGUAGUCCGCACAGUAAACGAUGAAUACUCGCUGUUUGCGAUACACUGUAAGCGGCCAAGCGAAAGCGUUAAGUAUUCCACCUGGGGAGUACGCCGGCAACGGUGAAACUCAAAGGAAUUGACGGGG